rnacentral:rRNA from 1 species
UACGUAGGGGGCGAGCGUUGUCCGGAUUUAUUGGGCGUAAAGAGCUCGUAGGCGGUUCGAUAAGUCGGACGUGAAAUCUCCACGCUCAACGUGGAGGGGCCGUUCGAUACUGUCGUGACUCGAGUCCGGUAGGGGAGUGUGGAAUUCCCGGUGUAGCGGUGAAAUGCGUAGAUAUCAGAAGGAACAUCAGUGGCGAAGGCGGCUUCCUGGACCAAUACUGACGAUCAGGUGCGAAAGCGUGGGGAGCAAACAGG